rnacentral:rRNA from 1 species
CAAUAGCGUAUAUUAAAGUUGUUGCGGUUAAAAAGCUCGUAGUUGGAUUUCUGCUGAGAACGACCGGUCCGCCCUUUGGGUGUGUAUCUGGCUCUUUCUUGGCAUCUUCUUGGUGAACGUUGCUGCACUUGACUGUGUGGAGCGCUACCCAGGACUUUUACUUUGAGGAAAUUAGAGUGUUUCAAGCAGGCAUACGCCUUGAAUACGUUAGCAUGGAAUAAUAAGAUAGGACCUCGGUUCUAUUUUGUUGGUUUCUAGAGCUGAGGUAAUGAUUAAUAGGGAUAGUUGGGGGCAUUCGUAUUUAACCGUCAGAGGUGAAAUUCUUGGAUUUGUUAAAGACGGACUACUGCGAAAGCAUUUGCCAAGGAUGUUUUCAUUGA